AGGUGUUUAGAUACGGUACAAUACGCUUUGGGAGCAGGAGGUCGGGCGUUCGAUUCGCCCCACCCCGACCA
rnacentral:tRNA from 1 species